AUACGUAGGGUACAAGCGUUAAUCGGAAUUACUGGGCGUAAAGCGUGCGCAGGCGGUUGUGUAAGACAGGUGUGAAAUCCCCGGGCUUAACCUGGGAAUUGCAUUUGUGACUGCACGACUAGAGUGUGUCAGAGGGGGGUGGAAUUCCACGUGUAGCAGUGAAAUGCGUAGAUAUGUGGAGGAACACCAAUGGCGAAGGCAGCCCCCUGGGAUAACACUGACGCGCAUGCACGAAAGCGUGGGGAGCAAACAGGAUUAGAUACCCUGGUAGUCCACGCCCUAAACGAUGUCAACUAGUUGUUGGGGAUUUACUUCCUUGGUAACGUAGCUAACGCGUGAAGUUGACCGCCUGGGGAGUACGGCCGCAAGGUUAAA
rnacentral:rRNA from 1 species